AGAGCGAACGUUAGCGGCGGGCCUAACACAUGCAAGUCGAACGCGAAAGGUCUUCGGACUGAGUAGAGUGGCGCACGGGUGAGUAACACGUAGGUAAUCUACCCUUUGGCGGGGGAUAACGUUCCGAAAGGAGCGCUAAUACCGCAUAAGACCACGGAGUCUCCGGACGCUGUGGGAAAAGGUGGCCUCUUCUUGAAAGCUACCACCGAAGGAUGAGCCUGCGUCCCAUCAGCUAGUUGGUAAGGUAAUGGCUUACCAAGGCGAAGACGGGUAGCUGGUUUGAGAGAAUGAUCAGCCACACUGGCACUGGAACACGGGCCAGACUCCUACGGGAGGCAGCAGUGAGGAAUAUUGGGCAAUGGGCGAAAGCCUGACCCAGCCACGCCGCGUGAGUGAUGAAGGCCCUCGGGUCGUAAAGCUCUGUGGAGAGGGACGAAAACCCUGGUUUCAAAUAGGCUCCAGGCUUGACGGUACCUCUUUAGCAAGCACCGGCUAACUCUGUG
rnacentral:rRNA from 1 species